CUUUCAGCUAUCUUGGCAAGGUUCCAUCAAAGUUUGAAUAUUGGGCACUUAAAGCAUUAUUUAUUAAUUUUAAAAUAAAGUGAUGUCCAAGUCAAUUGUAGUCAGAUUUAGAGCUCAAGCCUCCUAAAUAGAAGACUAAGAGACUACAAAUACUGGGAAAAGAAUUCAAGGAGUCUUCACAAACGCAAAGAUUCAUGGGCAUCUCUUGUCCCUCCACCCCUUGACCUCUACUUGGCCACAUAGGAAUGGGCCUUGGGCCUGGAACAUCUCUUUGCCAAGACAUGAAGAGUCCUUACAGCCUGUGCUGGGCUGAUCCUCUUGUGUGGGAAUCCUUUCUCUGUGCCAGAUCAAUGUGUGUUCCUUUGUUCUGCUUAGGUGUGUGGGUCAUAUGGCACCUGGCAGCCCCACUACUCUGUCUGUCCCCUGAAUGAAGGGGACCAGGACCUUUUAUCCUGCCACACAAGAGGGAAGGACCCACUGGCUGUGGGAGACUGAUGCCCACUAUUGAAGCUGAUCUUGCUGUCUCUUCUCUAUGCAACUGCGGUUACGUGUUUUGCAACAUGGUUCUGAUCUCCCAUUCAUUUAUCAAAUUUGAACCCUACUCUCCGCUAGUCAGCAGGUGGCCCUUUGAAGCACAUGUAUGUUGUCAUUAUGGAAACUUCUUUACUGACAUGGA
rnacentral:lncRNA from 1 species